rnacentral:rRNA from 1 species
GUCUAUGGCCAUGCCACCCUGAACAAGCCCAAUGUCUGAUCUCAGAAGCUAAGCAGGGUUGGGCAUGGUUAGUACUUGGAUGGGAGACCACCUAGGAAGACCAAGUACUAUAGGCA